rnacentral:rRNA from 1 species
AUUGAACGCUGGCGGCAGGCCUAACACAUGCAAGUCGAACGGUAACAGGAAGCAGCUUGCUGCUUCGCUGACGAGUGGCGGACGGGUGAGUAAUGUCUGGGAAGCUGCCUGAUGGAGGGGGAUAACUACUGGAAACGGUAGCUAAUACCGCAUAAUGUCGCAAGACCAAAGAGGGGGACCUUCGGGCCUCUUGCCAUCGGAUGUGCCCAGAUGGGAUUAGCUUGUUGGUGGGGUAACGGCUCACCAAGGCGACGAUCCCUAGCUGGUCUGAGAGGAUGACCAGCCACACUGGAACUGAGACACGGUCCAGACUCCUACGGGAGGCAGCAGUGGGGAAUAUUGCACAAUGGGCGCAGGCCUGAUGCAGCCAUGCCGCGUGUAUGAAGAAGGCCUUCGGGUUGUAAAGUACUUUCAGCGGGGAGGAAGGGAGUAAAGUUAAUACCUUUGCUCAUUGACGUUACCCGCAGAAGAAGCACCGGCUAACUCCGUG